AGAUGAACAGCUAGGCAGGUUAUGGACCAGGUUUGUGAAGACAAAGCGGGUGCAUUGGACUGACAUCAAAGCUGACACCAAUAUGUUACAAGCAUUUCACGGAGGACUGGUUUGAAAACAGUACAGCGUUCACUUGGCUUCGGUAGCAAGGAUUCAUCUUCUUGCAUCAUCUGCUUCUUCAAUUCAAUUGGAUCCUCCAUUGAUAGGACUUCUCCUUGGGAAUCCAGACGUUCCAUGAUGUCAUCCUCACCCAACUCAAGAUCCAACCGCCCAGUGUAACUGCAUCGAUCAGGCUUAUGAGUCUCCUCAAAACCGGGGAAGUCGCUCACUAAUUGGGCACUUUUGCACACACUGUUCAUCUUGCUCUGCUUCACCUCAUUCCACGCAUUAGUGGUAAAUUAAAAAAAUAAAUAAAUGUAAAUUCCUC